rnacentral:rRNA from 1 species
UACGUAGGGGGCGAGCGUUACCCGGAAUCACUGGGCGUAAAGGGUGCGUAGGCGGCCGAGUGUGUCUGGCGUUAAAAUCCACGGCUCAACUGUGGGUAUGCGCUGGAAACUGCUUGGCUUGAGUGCAGCAGAGGCAGACGGAACUGCUGGUGUAGAGGUGAAAUUCGUAGAUAUCAGCAGGAACGCCGGUGGAGAAGUAGGUCUGCCGGGGUGUAAAUGACGCUGAGGCACGAAAGCUAGGGGAGCAAACCGG